rnacentral:rRNA from 1 species
AUAUUGGUCAAUGGACGCAAGUCUGAACCAGCCACGUCGCGUGAAGGAAGACGGCCCUACGGGUUGUAAACUUCUUUUGUAAGGGAAUAAAGUGUAGUACGCGUACUAUUUUGCAUGUACCUUACGAAUAAGGAUCGGCUAACUCCGUGCCAGCAGCCGCGGUAAUACGGAGGAUCCGAGCGUUAUCCGGAUUUAUUGGGUUUAAAGGGUGCGCAGGCCGGAGAUUAAGUCCGCCGUGAAAUUUUGCAGCUCAAAUGUAAAAGUGCCUUCGAAACUGGUUUUCUUGAGUGUAGAUUAAGUAGGCGGAAUUUGUGGUGUAGCGGUGAAAUGCAUAGAUAUCACGAGGAACUCCGAUUGCGCAGGCCGCUUACUAAGCUAAAACUGACGCUCAUGCACGAAGGCGUGGGGAUCAAACAGG